UAUAUAUAAAUAGAUGAUAAAUAUAUUUAUCUAUAAAUAUAAUAAAAGAUAUAAAAUCAAAAUAUAUAUAUAA
rnacentral:tRNA from 1 species